rnacentral:rRNA from 1 species
ACUGCUCAGUAACACGUGGAUAACCUGCCCUUGGGUCCGGCAUAACCCCGGGAAACUGGGGAUAAUUCCGGAUAACGCAUAUGUGCUGGAAUGCUUUAUGCGUCAAAUGGAUUCGUCCGCCCAAGGAUGGGUCUGCGGCCUAUCAGGUAGUAGUGGGUGUAAUGUACCUACUAGCCAGCGACGGGUACGGGUUGUGAGAGCAAGAGCCCGGAGAUGGAUUCUGAGACAUGAAUCCAGGCCCUACGGGGCGCAGCAGGCGCGAAAACUUUACAAUGCGGGAAACCGUGAUAAGGGGACACCGAGUGUCAGCAUCAUAUGCUGGCUGUCCAGGUGUGUAAAAUACACCUGUUAGCAAGGGCCGGGCAAGACCGGUGCCAGCCGCCGCGGUAACACCGGCGGCCCGAGUGGUGAUCGUGAUUAUUGGGUCUAAAGGGUCCGUAGCCGGUUUGGUCAGUCCUCCGGGAAAUCUGAUAGCUCAACUAUUAGGCUAUCGGGGGAUACUACCAGGCUUGGAACCGGGAGAGGUAAGAGGUACUACAGGGGUAGGAGUGAAAUCUUGUAAUCCCUGUGGGACCACCUGUGGCGAAGGCGUCUUACCAGAACGGGUUCGACGGUGAGGGACGAAAGCUGGGGGCACGAACCGGAUUAGAUACCCGGGUAGUCCCAGCCGUAAACGAUGCUCGCUAGGUGUCAGGCAUGGCGCGACCGCGUCUGGUGCCGCAGGGAAGCCGUGAAGCGAGCCACCUGGGAAGUACGGCCGCAAGGCUGAAACUUAAAGGAAUUGGCGGGGGAGCAC